rnacentral:rRNA from 1 species
UUUAUGGAGAGUUUGAUCCUGGCUCAGGAUGAACGCUGGCGGCGUGCUUAACACAUGCAAGUCGAACGAUGAAGCCGGAGCUUGCGCUGGUGGAUUAGUGGCGAACGGGUGAGUAACACGUGAGUAACCUGCCCUUGACUCUGGAAUAAGCGUUGGAAACGACGUCUCAUACCGGAUACGAGCUUCAGCCGCAUGGCUAGGAGCUGGAAAGAAUUUCGGUCAAGGAUGGACUCGCGGCCUAUCAGGUAGUUGGUGAGGUAAUAGCUCACCAAGCCUACGACGGGUAGCCGGCCUGAGAGGGUGACCGGCCACACUGGAACUGAGACACGGUCCAGACUCCUACGGGAGGCA